UUUCACCAAUCCAUUGGAACUCAUCAGUCCCAUGGACAUCUCUAGAACUCUGGCAUGGUGAAUCAUUGUGGAACGAAAAGAACUUGUUCACUGACUGUGUUGAUGUGCAUCUGUGCAGGAAGGGUAUAGAAGAAGAAUCGAAGCUGGCAAGAAAAUCAGCAACAUACCUAUUGACAUGAUCUAUACAUCUGGACUGAUGCAUGCACAGAUGACUGCCAUGCCUGCCAGGACAUAGCACCUUUGUAAGAAGGGGUUGAUGUUAAAUGUGAAGAGAUAAUUGAAGCAACCUCAACUGGCUCCAGUUCAAUGAUUUCCAAGAUUGUUCAAAUGAACAUCACUGACAGAUUCAUUGACAGAUAUGAAAUUAUAUAAAAGUUGCUGGAGGAGAGGUAGCAGAUGCAGCUAUGGGGAGGAACAUGAAGAGAUUUAUGUUUUUUUAUGUUGUAUUUUAUUUGAAGUUGUAUAUGAAUUGUACAGUAUAUUUUAGAAUUAUACAGUACAUUUUGGUGGGCCAAAUUGUUAA